rnacentral:RNase_P_RNA from 2 species
UAAGUAAAACGGAUGAUCGCAGAUGAAUAAAUCAUUUGAGGAAAGUCCAGACUCUAAGGGCAGGGUGCCAGUUUAAAUACUGGAAGGAGAAAUCCUUGGAAUAGGGCCAUAGAAAAGAAACCACCUUUUUUUAUAAAAGGUAAGGAUGGAAAGGCGAGGUAAGAGCUCACCAGUGUCAGGGUAACCUGAUAGCUCGGUAACCCCCACCUUGAGCAAGAUCAAACAGAAAAGUUAAAGUUGCCCGCUAAGUAUUUAAUUAUACUGCUUUUCAGGUAGAUCGCUUAGAUAGAUGAUCAUCUAUUACAGAAUCUGGCUUAUAGUUUUACUUGAAAA